AAGUUGGUUAAUUAAUGAUGGAAACUAGGAAACACAUAGUCUAGGGGGUUCGAAUCCCCACCAACUCA
rnacentral:tRNA from 1 species